UACGUAGGGUGCAAGCGUUAAUCGGAAUUACUGGGCGUAAAGCGUGCGCAGGCGGUUUUGUAAGACAGAGGUGAAAUCCCCGGGCUCAACCUGGGAACUGCAUUUGUGACUGGCGGGCUAGAGUAUGGCAGAGGGGGGUAGAAUUCCACGUGUAGCAGUGAAAUGCGUAGAGAUGUGGAGGAAUACCGAUGGCGAAGGCAGCCCCCUGGGCCAAUACUGACGCUCAUGCACGAAAGCGUGGGGAGCAAACAGG
rnacentral:rRNA from 1 species